rnacentral:rRNA from 1 species
AACGCGAAGAACCUUACCUGGCCUUGACAUGCAAGUGGUAGAACCAUGAAAGUGGGACGACCCCGCAAGGGGAGCUUGCACAGGUGCUGCAUGGCUGUCGUCAGCUCGUGCCGUGAGGUGUUGGGUUAAGUCCCGCAACGAGCGCAACCCUUACUCUUAGUUGCCACCCGCAAGGGGGAACUCUAAGAGGACUGCUCCGGAUAACGGAGAGGAAGGUGGGGAUGAGGUCAAGUCAGCAUGGCCUUUAUGUCCAGGGCUACACACGUGUUACAAUGCGCGCUACAAAGUGUCGCGAACCCGCGAGGGGGAGCUAAUCGCAAAAAAGCGCGCUCAGUUCGGAUUGCAGUCUGCAACUCGACUGCAUGAAGCUGGAAUCGCUAGUAAUGGCGCAUCAGAACGGCGCCGUGAAUACGUUCCCGGGCCUUACACACCGAGACGAC